CUGGGGAGAAGGCUUAAUAGAAACCCGGAUACAGCUGCAUGCAUGCGUCUGUAAUCCCGGUGCUCCUGCGGUGAGAUGGGAGCAGGAGAAACACCCUAGCUCCUGGGCCAGCUAGCAUGGCAUUGCAAUGGUAAACAGACAGGGUCUCAAACAAGAUGGAAGGUGGGCCAUAGGCAAAUUAGGCAUGGAACUCGGACAAAUCUGGUUGGUUAAUUUGAAUCGACAUGGGAAAUUCUGAUUGGUUGAUGGAUUGAGUGAAAGUGAACAGGCUCAAGAAAGAGAGGGAGGAAAUGACGCAACGUUUUAUAUAAAUUGAGAAUGAAAGGCUGGUGAUCAGCCGUCACCUAGUAAGUCUAGGCUCUUUUGGAUUUCAGUUCUUGAACUUGGGGAUUGGGAAGUAUUUAUCAUAUAACUGUUAAGGGGAGUUUUAAGUUUGUAGCCAGCUGAAAAUCUUUUUUUCCGGCGGGCUGGGAUUACACUCCCUUUGGACACAAGAAGCUUUAAAGUCUGUCCACUAUUGAACAUGGCGAUUGGAAGACCAGGCACUGCUUGGCAGUUCACUUCCGUGUGUUGAGCUGCCUGGGGAAGUUAACUGGGUGAAGAGUGGAGGACAGCCGGCGGUUAUAUAUGCAUCUCCAGUUUGAUAACUCUGAUAACCGUAAGCAUACUUAAACUCGAGAGUUAUAAUUUGGAUUAAACUUCACCCAAGAGGGGUUUUACCCAUCUGGAGAGGAAGAUGAGGUGAGGAGGAGUGGAGAUCAGAGUGACAGGGGACACGGCAGAGUCCCUUUGAGAGAAAGUCUAGCAGACUCCUUUGUGAUUUGUCUACUCCUGAGUCACCCCGCAAACUACGCAAGCUAUGUACACAUUUGGGUCAAAUCUUCCAUUCUUGAAUAUGUACAAGGUGUGUGGGAGUGAGCAGGAAAUAGGUGGCUUUGCAAUGUUGUUUUUGAUUGAUAUUUAAUAGCAGCAUUCUUUGAUACUAACAAGAGUGCUAAAAACUGGGGAAGCUUCUAAUAAAUUAGAACUAAAGUCUGAAUGAUUGAUAAGUGGUUUUAGGAAUGUUUUUUCCCAGAAUAUCACUUGGAGUCUAAAUGGGAAUAAUCAAUUUUUUCUAGCAGGUCUCAUGAAGUGGCACGGAUCUGGGAGCACACAUCAGGGUUGGCCAUUCCAAACACUCCCUCUGGUCUCUAGGGAAACCCUUACUUGCCAAUUGUGGAUGCAGAUGACUGUGCCUCCCCUGGUCCCUCUGACAAGAGAUGGCAACCAGAGUUCUUUCAGUACUUACAGUAUCAAAAUGGAAAUUUCCGUCCGAGGAAUGGCUUCGCAAUGUUUUGACUUUUUACAAUUUACUAGAUUCUCUUCGUAAGGGGGCGCAGGGACUGUGAUGUCACAGCUAGCGACAACAGACACUCAAGCAACAAAGUAGUAAUAACUUGUGCAGUUGUCCAAACCCACACUAAUUCCCUCCAGGUGAUCCCCAAACUUCCCCUCUGCUCCCCACUGCAAUAAAUAAAUAAAUUAACAUUACUUUUCCAGUUCCUCAUUGCUAUUCUUCUAAAGCUGCCAUUUAUUCACAAUAAGAAACAAAUGUGCAUAUUCUAAAGUUUGAACUGAUGUUCAAGGCUCUCUAAAGACCUAUCAUUUUUUGUCUUGAAUGUUGUAAGAAAAUAUUAAAAGUUUAAAAAUAUCCUUUAUAAAGGGUUUCAUGGUCGCCCAAAAGGCAUACCAAUCAGCAGUUCUACACCAUUCAACAUGCAGAUCUCUAGGUCACCAAGCAACACUUGGGCUAAAGUCACAGACAAACCCAAGCACAACUUGUAAAAGCACUCAAAAAAUAUUCUGGCUUGAAAAAUGCACUUCUCACCAUACAGUGGGGUGGCCCACUGAACACAUCCAUGUCUGAAGGAGUGAUUGAGUUGGGGAGGGGGAUUCCCACCAACUCGGAGAAGAACCUAGAAUUCCGACCACUGGUGACCACUUUGGCUGAGGCCACAGUUUGUCAAAGUUAUUCAUCCAAGAAUCCCACGGUAUCUAGAGGCCCAUCUCGGAGGAGUUCACCAAAAGCAACAUUUGUUUUUUUUCUCUUCUUUGUUUCUUCUCCCAUAAGAUCCAAGUGGAAUUUUUCUUUCUACUGAAUCAUAAAUCACCACUUUUACAACAUGAAAACAGUAUUUAAAUCAAUUUGAAACUCCAGGAACAUGUGCAGUGCUCACUCUAUGAAUCUUUCCUUAAACAGGCAGCUAGGAAAACUUGGAACUAAGGCUCUAAAAUACACGAGGCAGGUUAACAUGGAAAGGGUUCUUGCUAGGAGGCCUGUGUUCAGGUUGAUUUUUAUCAGCUACUAACAGUUUGUCAUGAGGAGUUGAUUGGAAAUGACCUGAAUGUCAUGGAACCGGAACAGACUUUAAGUCCAGCAGAAAUACAAGAAGCUAGGGAAGGCAGAAGGUCCCUGACCUAGUAGUAGUCUAAGUGCCUGGACAGAGAACGUCAUAGCAUUGAGGGGUGGUAAGCCUGGAGUCUGGAGGAAUAUUUUAAAAAGAGAUUUCUGCCAGAGGAUUGGAGAGCCCAGAGAUAAACUUUUCCAAUGUGUUAUGUUUAUCCAAGCCACCCUACCCCUUAUCACCAGCAAUGGAAACAUAAACAAUGACUUGAAGCAUAAUCACUAUUGAACGGACAGAGGCUACCCUAGGCUCCUCAGAACAGGUCUCGUGAAAGUGGAACAGAGAUAAACACUCCUUCCCACCACCCCCCUCCUCCACCAUUCCCACCAAACCCUGACAUGCACACAUUUCCUAGGAAGUAAACUAUGCCGGCUGUCAGGUAAUUAAAACUAAACACGGCUAAAGAAAACAAGCCAGCAUACAAGAUACCUGGAACCACCCCCAGCUCCAGGGAGGAGACAAGUGACGAUCGGCCUCACCACCAUCGUUAUCGCUUUUAUCAAUUAUAAAACAGAACCAAUAAAGGCAGAGGGGACUAUGUCUCGCAAUUAGCCAUUACCCUCUAAGCAAAGACAAACCUGGAUUCCAGAGAAAAAUACAAUAGCCAAUUACAGAUUGACUAGCCCAACCAGAGGCCUAAAAGGCAAUGACUGGAAUAGAAGCUCCAGAGUGGUCCUCAGAUACCUGUAAUAGUCACAUGGCCAUGGGCUAAAUAAACAAGAAAAUAAGAUGGCGCCUGAAUCCUGAGGCUUACAUAGCACCCUGGACAGCACAGCUGCUUCCAUCCCUAGAUACAGACAAGAAGAUAAUACGUUUUCUAUCUCCCCUGAGUACUCCACAUUUAAGGAAUUUUUUUCCUUAGAAGACAACACAGUCUCUGGUAUUAGGAGCAAAAUGCUUUGCGUUUCCUCUCUCAAAGUUGAAUCCUAAUGUGCUUGAAAGCUUCCUAGAAACCUCUUAGUUCCUUCCCAAA
rnacentral:sRNA from 1 species